rnacentral:lncRNA from 1 species
CUUAAACUUUUCUACCCGCUGCUGGAUGUGUCCUAAAAAUAAAUGAGAGAAAGUCCCUUGACCCUUCUUAGUACACAUCUGAAUUUUUGGAAAUGCAACCCGAGUGGGAGGCAGGCAGAGGAUAAAAGACGGCUGGAGCCACAGCCACAGCCACUGAGCAGGGCGGCACAGGACACGAGGAAGAGCCACCACACAGCCACCAUGCUCCCUGCACGGACUGUCCUGCUGCUCACCCUGCUCCUCACCUUCUCCCUGCACCACGCCACAGCCCACUUUGCACCGGUGGAAUGCUGCUUUAACUAUGCACAGAAACGAAUCCGGCACCCUCAAAGCUUCUACAAGACAUCCAAAGACUGCCCCAGUCGUGCAGUUGUAAUUGUGGCUGCCAAUGGUGAUCACAUCUGUGCUGACCCCGAGAAGGAUUGGGUGAAAAAAACCAUAAAACGGCUUCAAAAGCAAAAAUUAAACCCAUCCACCAUCUGACUUGCCCAUCCAAUCUUCCUGUCUCUCGAGGGAGCCAAAGUGCUGGCAGCUCCUCUCCAGUGGCUGCUGUGGCCGUGGGCACUGUCCCUGCAGGCAGAGCCCCCCUGAACCCCGGCAGGAUCAGGAGUCACCGUGCCACGGAGCUGCUCCUGCUGCCACUGCCCUGCCAAGAUGUGCUUGUGAAACAAAUAUUUAUAAUAAAGACUCAUUGCCACAAGUUGCUGUUUGAA